GCUGACACGCUGUCCUCUGGCGACCUGUCGCUGGAGAGGUUGGGCCUCCGGAUGCGCGCGGGGCUCUGGCCUACCGGUGACCCGGCUAGCCGGCCGCGCUCCUGCUUGAGCCGCCUGCCGGGGCCCGCGGGCCUGCUGUUCUCUCGCGCGUCCGAGCGUCCCGACUCCCGGUGCCGGCCCGGGUCCGGGUCUCUGACCCACCCGGGGGCGGCGGGGAAGGCGGCGAGGGCCACCGUGCCCCCGUGCGCUCUCCGCUGCGGGCGCCCGGGGCGGCCGCGACAACCCCACCCCGCUGGCUCCGUGCCGUGCGUGUCAGGCGUUCUCGUCUCCGCGGGGUUGUCCGCCGCCCCUUCCCCGGAGUGGGGGGUUGGCCGGAGCCGAUCGGCUCGCUGGCCGGCCGGCCGGCCUCCGCUCCCGGGGGGCUCUUCGUGAUCGAUGUGGUGACGUCGUGCUCUCCCGGGCCGGGUCCGAGCCGCGACGGGCGAGGGGCGGACGUUCGUGGCGAACGGGACCGUCCUUCUCGCUCCGCCCCGCGGGGGUCCCCUCGUCUCUCCUCUCCCCGCCCGCCGGCGGUGCGUGUGGGAAGGCGUGGGGUGCGGACCCCGGCCCGACCUCGCCGUCCCGCCCGCCGCCUUCUGCGUCGCGGGUGCGGGCCGGCGGGGUCCUCUGACGCGGCAGACAGCCCUCGCUGUCGCCUCCAGUGGUUGUCGACUUGCGGGCGGCCCCCCUCCGCGGCGGUGGGGGUGCCGUCCCGCCGGCCCGUCGUGCUGCCCUCUCGGGGGGUUUGCGCGAGCGUCGGCUCCGCCUGGGCCCUUGCGGUGCUCCUGGAGCGCUCCGGGUUGUCCCUCAGGUGCCCGAGGCCGAACGGUGGUGUGUCGUUCCCGCCCCCGGCGCCCCCUCCUCCGGUCGCCGCCGCGGUGUCCGCGCGUGGGUCCUGAGGGAGCUCGUCGGUGUGGGGUUCGGGGCGGUUUGAGUGAGACGAGACGAGACGCGCCCCUCCCACGCGGGGAAGGGCGCCCGCCUGCUCUCGGUGAGCGCACGUCCCGUGCUCCCCUCUGGCGGGUGCGCGCGGGCCGUGUGAGCGAUCGCGGUGGGUUCGGGCCGGUGUGACGCGUGCGCCGGCCGGCCGCCGAGGGGCUGCCGUUCUGCCUCCGACCGGUCGUGUGUGGGUUGACUUCGGAGGCGCUCUGCCUCGGAAGGAAGGAGGUGGGUGGACGGGGGGGCCUGGUGGGGUUGCGCGCACGCGCGCACCGGCCGGGCCCCCGCCCUGAACGCGAACGCUCGAGGUGGCCGCGCGCAGGUGUUUCCUCGUACCGCAGGGCCCCCUCCCUUCCCCAGGCGUCCCUCGGCGCCUCUGCGGGCCCGAGGAGGAGCGGCUGGCGGGUGGGGGGAGUGUGACCCACCCUCGGUGAGAAAAGCCUUCUCUAGCGAUCUGAGAGGCGUGCCUUGGGGGUACCGGAUCCCCCGGGCCGCCGCCUCUGUCUCUGCCUCCGUUAUGGUAGCGCUGCCGUAGCGACCCGCUCGCAGAGGACCCUCCUCCGCUUCCCCCUCGACGGGGUUGGGGGGGAGAAGCGAGGGUUCCGCCGGCCACCGCGGUGGUGGCCGAGUGCGGCUCGUCGCCUACUGUGGCCCGCGCCUCCCCCUUCCGAGUCGGGGGAGGAUCCCGCCGGGCCGGGCCCGGCGUCCCAGCGGGUUGGGACGCGGCGGCCGGCGGGCGGUGGGUGUGCGCGCCCGGCGCUCUGUCCGGCGCGUGACUCCCUCCGCCGCGAGUCGGCUCUCCGCCCGCUCCCGUGCCGAGUCGUGACCGGUGCCGACGACCGCGUUUGCGUGGCACGGGGUCGGGCCCGCCUGGCCCUGGGAAAGCGUCCCACGGUGGGGGCGCGCCGGUCUCCCGGAGCGGGACCGGGUCGGAGGAUGGACGAGAAUCACGAGCGACGGUGGUGGUGGCGUGUCGGGUUCGUGGCUGCGGUCGCUCCGGGGCCCCCGGUGGCGGGGCCCCGGGGCUCGCGAGGCGGUUCUCGGUGGGGGCCGAGGGCCGUCCGGCGUCCCAGGCGGGGCGCCGCGGGACCGCCCUCGUGUCUGUGGCGGUGGGAUCCCGCGGCCGUGUUUUCCUGGUGGCCCGGCCGUGCCUGAGGUUUCUCCCGGAGCCGCCGCCUCUGCGGGCUCCCGGGUGCCCUUGCCCUCGCGGUCCCCGGCCCUCGCCCGUCUGUGCCCUCUUCCCCGCCCGCCGCCCGCCGAUCCUCUUCUUCCCCCCGAGCGGCUCACCGGCUUCACGUCCGUUGGUGGCCCCGCCUGGGACCGAACCCGGCACCGCCUCGUGGGGCGCCGCCGCCGGCCACUGAUCGGCCCGGCGUCCGCGUCCCCCGGCGCGCGCCUUGGGGACCGGGUCGGUGGCGCCCCGCGUGGGGCCCGGUGGGCUUCCCGGAGGGUUCCGGGGGUCGGCCUGCGGCGCGUGCGGGGGAGGAGACGGUUCCGGGGGACCGGCCGCGACUGCGGCGGC
rnacentral:rRNA from 1 species